rnacentral:rRNA from 1 species
UUAAGCGACUAAGCGUACACGGUGGAUGCCCUGGCAGUCAGAGGCGAUGAAGGACGUGCUAAUCUGCGAAAAGCGUCGGUAAGGUGAUAUGAACCGUUAUAACCGGCGAUGUCCGAAUGGGGAAACCCAGUGUGAUUCGUCACACUAUCGUUAACUGAAUACAUAGGUUAACGAGGCGAACCGGGGGAACUGAAACAUCUAAGUACCCCGAGGAAAAGAAAUCAACCGAGAUUCCCCCAGUAGCGGCGAGCGAACGGGGAGCAGCCCAGAGUCUGAAUCAGCUUGUGUGUUAGUGGAACGGUCUGGAAAGUCCGACGGUACAGGGUGAUAGUCCCGUACACCAAAAUGCACAGGUUGUGAACUCGAAGAGUAGGGCGGGACACGUGGUAUCCUGUCUGAAUAUGGGGGGACCAUCCUCCAAGGCUAAAUACUCCUGACUGACCGAUAGUGAACCAGUACCGUGAGGGAAAGGCGAAAAGAACCCCGGCGAGGGGAGUGAAAAAGAACCUGAAACCGUGUACGUACAAGCAGUGGGAGCACCUUCGGGUGUGACUGCGUACCUUUUGUAUAAUGGGUCAGCGACUUAUAUUCUGUAGCAAGGUUAACCGUAUAGGGGAGCCGCAGGGAAACCGAGUCUUAACUGGGCGUUAAGUUGCAGGGUAUAGACCCGAAACCCGGUGAUCUAGCCAUGGGCAGGUUGAAGGUUGGGUAACACUAACUGGAGGACCGAACCGACUAAUGUUGAAAAAUUAGCGGAUGACUUGUGGCUGGGGGUGAAAGGCCAAUCAAACCGGGAGAUAGCUGGUUCUCCCCGAAAGCUAUUUAGGUAGCGCCUCGUGAAUUCAUCUUCGGGGGUAGAGCACUGUUUCGGCUAGGGGGUCAUCCCGACUUACCAACCCGAUGCAAACUACGAAUACCGAAGAAUGUUAUCACGGGAGACACACGGCGGGUGCUAACGUCCGUCGUGAAGAGGGAAACAACCCAGACCGCCAGCUAAGGUCCCAAAGUCAUGGUUAAGUGGGAAACGAUGUGGGAAGGCACAGACAGCCAGGAUGUUGGCUUAGAAGCAGCCAUCAUUUAAAGAAAGCGUAAUAGCUCACUGGUCGAGUCGGCCUGCGCGGAAGAUGUAACGGGGCUAAACCAUGCACCGAAGCUGCGGCAGCGACACUAUGUGUUGUUGGGUAGGGGAGCGUUCUGUAAGCCUGCGAAGGUGGCCUGUGAGGGUUGCUGGAGGUAUCAGAAGUGCGAAUGCUGACAUAAGUAACGAUAAAGCGGGUGAAAAGCCCGCUCGCCGGAAGACCAAGGGUUCCUGUCCAACGUUAAUCGGGGCAGGGUGAGUCGACCCCUAAGGCGAGGCCGAAAGGCGUAGUCGAUGGGAAACAGGUUAAUAUUCCUGUACUUGGUGUUACUGCGAAGGGGGGACGGAGAAGGCUAUGUUAGCCGGGCGACGGUUGUCCCGGUUUAAGCAUGUAGGCUGGUUAUCCAGGCAAAUCCGGAUAAUCAAGGCUGAGGUGUGAUGACGAGGCACUACGGUGCUGAAGUAACAAAUGCCCUGCUUCCAGGAAAAGCCUCUAAGCAUCAGGUAACAUUAAAUCGUACCCCAAACCGACACAGGUGGUCAGGUAGAGAAUACCAAGGCGCUUGAGAGAACUCGGGUGAAGGAACUAGGCAAAAUGGUGCCGUAACUUCGGGAGAAGGCACGCUGGUGUGUAGGUGAAGUCCCUGCGGAUGGAGCUGAGACCAGUCGAAGAUACCAGCUGGCUGCAACUGUUUAUUAAAAACACAGCACUGUGCAAACACGAAAGUGGACGUAUACGGUGUGACGCCUGCCCGGUGCCGGAAGGUUAAUUGAUGGGGUUAUCCGUAAGGAGAAGCUCUUGAUCGAAGCCCCGGUAAACGGCGGCCGUAACUAUAACGGUCCUAAGGUAGCGAAAUUCCUUGUCGGGUAAGUUCCGACCUGCACGAAUGGCGUAAUGAUGGCCAGGCUGUCUCCACCCGAGACUCAGUGAAAUUGAACUCGCUGUGAAGAUGCAGUGUACCCGCGGCAAGACGGAAAGACCCCGUGAACCUUUACUAUAGCUUGACACUGAACAUUGAGCCUUGAUGUGUAGGAUAGGUGGGAGGCUUUGAAGCGUGGACGCCAGUCUGCGUGGAGCCAACCUUGAAAUACCACCCUUUAAUGUUUGAUGUUCUAACGUUGGCCCCUGACCGGGGUUGCGGACAGUGUCUGGUGGGUAGUUUGACUGGGGCGGUCUCCUCCCAAAGCGUAACGGAGGAGCACGAAGGUUAGCUAAUCCUGGUCGGACAUCAGGAGGUUAGUGCAAUGGCAUAAGCUAGCUUGACUGCGAGCGUGACGGCGCGAGCAGGUGCGAAAGCAGGUCAUAGUGAUCCGGUGGUUCUGAAUGGAAGGGCCAUCGCUCAACGGAUAAAAGGUACUCCGGGGAUAACAGGCUGAUACCGCCCAAGAGUUCAUAUCGACGGCGGUGUUUGGCACCUCGAUGUCGGCUCAUCACAUCCUGGGGCUGAAGUAGGUCCCAAGGGUAUGGCUGUUCGCCAUUUAAAGUGGUACGCGAGCUGGGUUUAGAACGUCGUGAGACAGUUCGGUCCCUAUCUGCCGUGGGCGCUGGAGAAUUGAGGGGGGCUGCUCCUAGUACGAGAGGACCGGAGUGGACGCAUCACUGGUGUUCGGGUUGUCAUGCCAAUGGCACUGCCCGGUAGCUAAAUGCGGAAGAGAUAAGUGCUGAAAGCAUCUAAGCACGAAACUUGCCCCGAGAUGAGUUCUCCCUG